ensembl:lncRNA
AAUGAAUGCUAAGGGGGUAGGGGUGGGGGACAAUGUGACAGGGACAAGCAUAUAAAUCUAUUCAUGUCCUAUGUAUCAAUGCCACUCUCACCUUCCGUAAUUAAGAAACAUUGAGUUACAAUGGUUGAUUCGUUUCCAAUCCUGAGUAUUGAACGUGUAGUUCUGAACGUGCAGAGUGAAUGUUGAAUCUCAAGGCUUUCUGCAACAUUGGAAAGCAACUCUAGAUACGGUGUGUGUUCGUCCAUGCAUGCAUGAGUUUGCUCUUUACACCCCUGACUGCCAUGUUUCCCUCCCAGCAGAUGAUGAGCUGGCCCAGCUUCAGGAGAAGCUGCUGGAGACAGAGGGUGAAGUAGAGGAUCGUCUCCAGAAGGAGCAGCACUCCUAACAGAGAUUGGGGCCACCAUCCAUGGACGGUGAAUAUUCGAUCUCCAAUAACAGAUAACGAUAUUCACUCUGAUCUUUCUUAAUAAGCACGACUAGCAGCAAGGUUAGAAGAGCAUCCAAGCAGGAGAAGUUACUGCGGAAGCUGAGUAAGAUCAGCCGGGUGAUGCAGGAGGUACGACUGAUGGAGGGGGCCACACCUGAGAUGGUGCCCUACGCUGCUGACUGAGAGGGCUACCCUGAGGAGACCUACCCCCAGUAUAAGGAGCCCGGAGGCAGGCGCAGCGGCAGUUAUGACCCCAUCACCAUCCUGGAGGAGCCUGCUGCUGACUCAGAUACCCACUGCCGAGGCCCUGGCUGAGGAGGUGGUGGAUGAGGAGGUAGAAGAGGUCACAGAGGAGGAGGAGGAGGAGCAGUAGCUCUGCCCGCCCCCACCUCCUGAAGGAGGAAUGGAAGAAACGGGUAGUAGUCCCACCAGAGGUAAAAAGCUCAAUCAGAUUCAGCGACCACAAAGAUGUGUUUCACUACCCUAAGCAGGAUACGGUCUAUGAAUAUAGGUAUGAAGAGGAGAAGGAAGAGGGGCAAGUGGAUGAGACAGAGGAAGAGGGAGUAGUAGGUGAUGAAGACCCACUGAUGGAGGCCGAGUCUCUCAGUUUUAGUUGUGAUGUCUGUAGUAAUCCAGAAGCAGAAGAAGAGAUGGAAGAAGAGUACAUUCUACUGUCUCAGUCUGAAGAGACAGACAGCUUCACCCCACCAGAUAGGUCUGGGGAGCUGGGGAUUCUCUCAGGUUGAGGAACAGGAGAGAGAGACAGAGGGCAGAGUCAAUGAGGAAACUAGUUCAUCCUAAACUUGCCUCUCUAGCCCUUUGACCUUACUGAAUGUUCUGAAUAUUCCCAAGAAUGUACCUCUCCUUAUGCAAAUCCCCGUUUUCUAUCCUGUCUCCUUGCGUCCCAAGACAGAAUAUGCUGUUCAGUGGGUGAAUUUUGUGAUCCUAACUAGACUACCUAAUCCCCUAAUAUUCAUGCUGCUUUAAAGAAAACCAUUUACCCACAAUUCAUCAUGUCCUUUGAUGGUAGACAUCAAACUGACUAACUUUAUUCCAAUAUGGCAGUCAAGCAUUGUAGAGACCCUGGUGUCCUCUGGGAUAGAUUGUAAACAGAGAGAGAGCAGGGACCCACAUAAAUGAGUAAACAGAGGUAGAUCGUUCAAGUCCAGCUUUUGUAUCUCAGACUAUUAAAGUGGACACAUUCUAUUAAAAGGUCAUAUGAAAAAUAUUUUUUCAAACCAGCAACUAUUAAGCCCAGAAUGUAUUCGUAAUAAAAAAUGAAUUGUCCAUGAGUUGUAUAUGAGUCUCCUGUUUUCCUGUUGAAUACACUGUACUGCUGUCCUCGAGGACACUGUCCACUAUCCUAGUGUAACAGUUUUGCUUCCGUC